AAUGGGGGAAACCCUGAUGCAGUAACGCCGCGUGAGUGAUGAAGGCCUUCGGGUUGUAAAGCUCUGUCUUCAGGGACGAUAAUGACGGUACCUGAGGAGGAAGCCACGGCUAACUACGUGCCAGCAGCCGCGGUAAUACGUAGGUGGCAAGCGUUGUCCGGAAUUAUUGGGCGUAAAGGAUGCGUAGGUGGUCCUUUAAGUGGGAUGUGAAAUCCCUGGGCUUAACCCAGGAAUUGCAUUCCAAACUGGAGGACUAGAGUGCAGGAGAGGAGAGUAGAAUUCCUAGUGUAGCGGUGAAAUGCGUAGAUAUUAGGAGGAAUACCAGUAGCGAAGGCGGCUCUCUGGACUGUAACUGACACUGAGGCACGAAAGCGUGGGGAGCAAA
rnacentral:rRNA from 1 species